rnacentral:rRNA from 1 species
ACAUGUUCUCAGAGUCGCGUUCCUCGGAAUUGGAGCGUAAAGUGGGUGGUAAAUUUCAUCUAAAGCUAAAUAUAGGCUUGAGACCGAUAGCAAACAAGUACCAUGAGGGAAAGAUGAAAAGGACUUUGAAAAGAGAGUUAAAAGUGCUUGAAAUCGCUGAAAGGGAAGCGAAUGGAACCAGUCUUCUGGCUGAGAUUGUUGCGUGCUACUGUGAUGCCUGGCUGCUUCAACGCAAGUGUGGCAGUUAGAGUUGAUCAGCUGUGCGUGAUGUUUCUCAGCUUGUUAGUCAACCUUUGUUCGUGCUUGGGGAUAACUGCGGGUUCCAUGUUCUUCUCUGCGGAGUUGAGCUCGUGCCUGUAAGGACUCAGGUGUGUACAAUUGGUGACAAAAUGGUUCUCUUCGACCCGUCUUGAAACACGGACCAAGGAGUCUAGCACAUGUGCAAGUUCACAGGUGGCAAGCCUGCUUGCGCAAUGAAGGUGACUGCUGGGAUAUUUGCACCAGCAACCGACCAAUCAAUNGAGAGAAGUUUGAGUAUGAGCAUAUGUGUUAGG